ACUCAAAUGAAUUGACGGGGGCCCGCACAAGCGGUGGAGCAUGUGGAUUAAUUCGUCACUAACCGAAGAACCUUACCCAGGUUUGACAUCUAUCGCACCGGUGUGAAAGCAUCGUCCCUUCGGGGCGGUAAGACAGGUGUUGCAUGGCUGUCGUCAGCUCGUGUCGUGAGAUGUUGGGUUAAGUCCCGCAACGAGCGCAACCCUCACCUGAUGUUGCCAGCGUAAAGUCGGGAACUCUUCAGGAACUGCCCGUGCAAGCGGGAGGAAGGUGGGGAUGACGUCAAGUCGGCAUGGCCCUUACGCCUGGGGCUUCACACAUGCUACAAUGGUUGGUACAGAGGGCUGCGAGACCGCGAGGUGGAGCAAAUCCCAAAAAACCAUCCUCAGUUCGGAUUGUAGGCUGCAACUCGCCUACAUGAAGCUGGAAUCGCUAGUAACCGCAGGUCAGCGAAACUGCGGUGAAUACGUUCCCGGGCCUUGUACACACCGCCCGU
rnacentral:rRNA from 1 species